AUUUAAGUUUUAACUGAAAAUUGUUUUUAAAUAUUUUGUAUUAAGAAUAAAGUUGUUCAGAUAGUUAUUGUUUGAUUGUUUCCGUUACUGACUUAUUCAUUAUUUUCCAAAUACUCGUUAUCAUAUACAGAUUUUCGUUCUAAUUAUGAUUGCAAUACAGCAGACAAUAAAAGCCAUGGUGAGACAUGAAUUCGCGAUUAUAUCAGUUUGGAAAAUAUAAACAUCCUAUGAUGAAAAUGGACUAGAAGAUACUGAUAAUAAUAAUUGUUUUAUUCAACAUGGCAAUACAGCAGAUGACUCAAGGAAUGCUGAGACAUUUAUUUGUAUGCAUACAACUUUGGGAAUGUAUGAACAUCCAAUGUUGAAAAUGAACUAAAAGAUACUGAUUAUAAAGAAUUUAUGCAAUGUACGUGUAAUGGUUAUUAGAUGCAAAUACAGCAGAUCAUUAAAGGGAUGCUGAAACAUUAUUUGGUAUUCAAACAACUCUGGAAAAGUAUGAACAUCCAAUUUUGAAAAUGAACUAACGAAUACUGAUUAUAAUGAAUUUAUGCAAUUUACAUAUUGCAAUACAGCAGACAAUGAAAGCCAUGGUGAGACAUGAAUUCGCGAUUAUAUCAGUUUGGAAAAUAUAAACAUCCUAUGAUGAAAAUGGACUAGAAGAUACUGAUAAUAAUAAUUGUUUUAUUCAACAUGGCAAUACAGCAGAUGACUCAAGGAAUGCUGAGACAUUUAUUUGUAUGCAUACAACUUUGGGAAUGUAUGAACAUCCAAUGUUGAAAAUGAACUAAAAGAUACUGAUUAUAAAGAAUUUAUGCAAUGUACGUGUAAUGGUUAUUAGGUAUAGUUGAUAGAAAAUUAAUAGCAAUGUAUCUAAAAGUUACUCAAAUGCUUCCCUGACUAUAAUAUUAAUUAAAUUAUUUAAUUUAUUAUUAUUAACUUGCAUACAUUUCAUUUAAGCAGAU